rnacentral:lncRNA from 1 species
GAAGCUCAAGAAAACAAGUGUCGAAAUGCUGAAGGUGAAGAAAAGCGAGAAGCUGACGUUCGUCUAUCAGAUGGUCUACAACAGCAGCGGCAUAGAGUUCUGUGGAACAGUGGGAGAGGAUGCCUCCUCCUGCGGGUUUGCAUGCGUUCUGCAGAACGUUGCCCAGUUUCCAUGCCAGAAAUCUGACAGGUUAAAGUAGGACCAGAUGGAGGCAGAUUCUGGUUCUGUAACUACUACCUUAGAACCAUCAAACGGAGGCAAUACAACAAAAGGUGGUGGAACUUCAGCCAGGACGGGGAGGAGGAGGGACCCGGUCCAACUCUACCGCAGAGAUCCAGAUGAAGGGGCGUGUGCUGCAGCUGCUGGAGGAUCUUCCUGCGUCGACCGGUUCGGAUCAGUGUUCAUAAGAGUUCUGACGCUUACUGGAACCGGUCGUCACGUUUCUCCUGUUCUUCCCCGGCUGGAUCAGGAUGCCACAGAAACAUGUGACACACUGUCAGCUCGUCUCAUUGUUCAUAGACCUUCCUGAAGCGUCUGGCACCUCCACCGCUCAGAGAGGUGCAGCUCACUUGCUGGUCAGCGCCAUGAACAGUGGACGGUCAGAACCAGCUGGCAGAGCCACUGCCCCCUGCCCUGCAGGAGGACGGGGAGCUCCGCUGGGCGGCCCAGCUCCUCUGGGCCUCCCAGCGGAGCCUCCUCCUCUGGGAGAGACCAGAGCUCCCAGUAGGAGUCCUGCUGGAAGUGCUGGCUCUGGUCGUACGCGGACUGGGCCUGAUGCAGAACCUGCUGAGCAGCGGGACAGACCAGAGCUCCCAGUAGGAGUCCUGCUGGAGGUGCUGGUUCUGGUCGUACAUGGACUGGGCCUAAUGCAGCCCAGCACAGCUCCGUAA